CAGUUUCCUGCGGAAGCGGAAAGCGGACAGAGAAGGUCGCCGCACGGCCUUUGCUUGUUUUUUUUCCUAGAGUAACCCUAAGCGCCUGCCUUCGCCACGCCCAUCUUCAGGGUCCGGCUGGUUCUGCGGCAGUAAUAUCCCAAUACCCCGAACUCCGCCCUAAAUAAACCCAGAGGCCGCCGUUUAGGUCAAGUAUUCGAAAUCGCUGUGAGGCUUGUCCUUGCCGUUUGGUUUUCGCCUUUGGCCCCGGAGACGCCGCCUUCCGGGAUAUUUUCAUGCUUAAAACUUAACCGUUAGUACCUGCGCCUGUGCCUUGUCAAGUCCCCGGGCGCGAGGGGGAUUCGGGCACGCCCACCUCCACCGCCUCACCCUGUCGACCCCUGGAGGUCGCGUCGACAGUUCCACUCCCGGAGAAGCCGAUUCCUCUCCCCGGUCCUGGGAUUCCGGAGAGCCCGCCCGACCCCUGAGACCCCCUCGCUUCCAGCCUCUCUGCCCUCGCGUCUCCUCAGGCCGAUCGUUCUGCCCCGCAGGCCUCCCUUCCUGAUCAACUUCUAAAAACUUACAUUGUCUGAGGAAGAAGCUGGAAAGAGGAAGAAAGGAAAGGCAACAGGAAUGCCUCUUUCUCAGGGAACUCCAGGAAGACAUGUAUGACUUUGAGUGUCGUUGGAGAAGUGGUGGAAGAAAUAACAAAGGAACGCCUAUAACUCAU
ensembl:lncRNA